UACGGAGGGGGCUAGCGUUGUUCGGAAUUACUGGGCGUAAAGGGCGCGUAGGCGGCACGGCAAGUCAGGAGUGAAAGCCCGGGGCUCAACCCCGGAAUGUCUUUUGAAACUGCCGAGCUAGAGUGCGGAAGAGGCAACUGGAAUUCCCAGUGUAGCGGUGAAAUGCGUAGAUAUUGGGAAGAACACCUGAGGCGAAGGCGGGUUGCUGGGCCGACACUGACGCUGAUGCGCGAAAGCCAGGGGAGCGAACGGG
rnacentral:rRNA from 1 species